AGAGUUUGAUCCUGGCUACAGGACGAACGCUGGCGGCGUGCUUAACACAUGCAAGUCGAACGGGGUACUUGUACCUAGUGGCGAACGGGUGAGUAAAGCGCAAAUAACCUGCCUCAAAGAUGGGGACAACAGCUCGAAAGGGUUGCUAAUACCGAAUGUUAUAUCAGUGUCGCAUGGGAUUGAUAUUAAAGAUUUAUCGCUUUGAGAGGGGUUUGCGUCCGAUUAGCUAGUUGGUGAGGUAAAGGCUUACCAAGGCGACGAUCGGUAACCGGUCUGAGAGGAUGAACGGUCACAUUGGAACUGAGACACGGUCCAGACUCCUACGGGAGGCAGCAGUGGGGAAUAUUCCACAAUGGGCGAAAGCCUGAUGGAGCGACGCCGCGUGAGUGAAGAAGGGUUUCGACUCGUAAAGCUCUUUUCUUGCAGACGAAUUAGCCUUAGGGGCAGUUGACGGUAUGUAAGGAAUAAGCCACGGCUAACUACGUGCC
rnacentral:rRNA from 1 species